GACAGAGGGGGCAAGCGUUGUCCGGAUUGACUGGGCGUACAGCGCGCGCAGGCGGGGGGCAAGGUGCCGUGUGACAGCCGGACGCUUAACGUCCGCGGGCCACGGUAGACCGGUCGUCUAGAGGCAGGGAGAGGGCAGUGGAAUACCCGGUGGAGCGGUGAAAUGCGUAGAGAUCGGGUGGAACACCAGCGGCGAAGGCGGCUGCCUGGCCCUGACCUGACGCUGAGGCGCGAGAGCGUGGGGAGCGAACCGG
rnacentral:rRNA from 1 species